AGUGAACGCUGGCGGCAGGCCUAACACAUGCAAGUCGAGCGGCAGCGCGGGGGCAACCCUGGCGGCGAGCGGCGGACGGGUGAGGAAUUCGUCGGAAUCUGCCUUUUUGUGGGGGAUAACGUAGGGAAACUUACGCUAAUACCGCAUACGUCCUACGGGAGAAAGUGGGGGACCGCAAGGCCUCACGCAGAAAGAUGAGCCGACGACCGAUUAGCUAGUUGGUGGGGUAAAGGCCCACCAAGGCGACGAUCGGUAGCUGGUCUGAGAGGAUGAUCAGCCACACUGGGACUGAGACACGGCCCAGACUCCUACGGGAGGCAGCAGUGGGGAAUAUUGGACAAUGGGCGCAAGCCUGAUCCAGCCAUGUCGCGUGUGUGAAGAAGGCCUUCGGGUUGUAAAGCACUUUUGUCCGGAAAGAAAUCCCUGGAGCUAAUACCUUCGGGGGAUGACGGUACCGGAAGAAUAAGCACCGGCUAACUUCGUG
rnacentral:rRNA from 1 species